UUCAUGCUAACCAUUUCAUCACUUCCAAUAUUCACCGGCUCUCGGAAGUCCGACUUAGUCAAUCUAAGCACGCCUUCCACGCAUUCAUCGAUAAAGGUGAAGGAUCGGGUUUGAAGUCCAUCUCCCCACAUCUCAAACUUGUUGAUGGAAGUGAUUGCCUUUCUGCAAAAAGCAGCAGGUGCCUUCUCACGGCCACCUUUCCAAGUUCCAAAAGGACCAUA
rnacentral:misc_RNA from 1 species